rnacentral:rRNA from 1 species
GUUGUAUGGUUAAGUGACUAAGCGUACACGGUGGAUGCCUUGGCAGUCAGAGGCGAUGAAGGACGUAUUAACUUGCGAUAAGCCCAGAUUAGGUAGUAAAAACCAUUUGAGUCUGGGAUUUCCGAAUGGGGAAACCCACUAGCAUAAGCUAGUAUCGCUGCGUGAAUACAUAGCGCAGCGAGGCGAACCGGGGGAACUGAAACAUCUAAGUACCCCGAGGAAAAGAAAUCAACCGAGAUUCCGAAAGUAGCGGCGAGCGAAAUUGGACUAGCCCUUAAGCUUUUUAUGCGUCAGGUGAAACUUCUGGAAAGUUGUGCGAUACAGGGUGAUAGCCCCGUAACCGGCAACGCAUUUAAAGUGAAAUCGAGUAGGGCGGGACACGUGAUAUCCUGUCUGAAUAUGGGGGGACCAUCCUCCAAGGCUAAAUACUACUGACUGACCGAUAGUGAACCAGUACCGUGAGGGAAAGGCGAAAAGAACCCCUGUGAGGGGAGUGAAAUAGAACCUGAAACCGUGUACGUACAAGCAGUAGGAGCACCUUCGUGGUGUGACUGCGUACCUUUUGUAUAAUGGGUCAGCGACUUAUAUUCAGUGGCAAGGUUAACCAUCUAGGGGAGCCGUAGGGAAACCGAGUCUUAACUGGGCGUUCAGUCUCUGGAUAUAGACCCGAAACCAGGUGAUCUAGCCAUGGGCAGGUUGAAGGUUGAGUAACAUCAACUGGAGGACCGAACCGACUAAUGUUGAAAAAUUAGCGGAUGACUUGUGGCUAGGGGUGAAAGGCCAAUCAAACCUGGAGAUAGCUGGUUCUCCCCGAAAGCUAUUUAGGUAGCGCCUCGGACGAAUACUACUGGGGGUAGAGCACUGUUAAGGCUAGGGGGUCAUCCCGACUUACCAACCCUUUGCAAACUCCGAAUACCAGUAAGUACUAUCCGGGAGACACACGGCGGGUGCUAACGUCCGUCGUGGAGAGGGAAACAACCCAGACCGCCAGCUAAGGUCCCAAAUUACUACUAAGUGGGAAACGAUGUGGGAAGGCUCAGACAGCCAGGAUGUUGGCUUAGAAGCAGCCAUCAUUUAAAGAAAGCGUAAUAGCUCACUGGUCGAGUCGGCCUGCGCGGAAGAUGUAACGGGGCUAAGUAGUAAACCGAAGCUGCGGCAAUGCACUUUAGUGCAUUGGGUAGGGGAGCGUUCUGUAAGCGGUUGAAGGUGUGUGGUAACGCAUGCUGGACGUAUCAGAAGUGCGAAUGCUGACAUGAGUAACGAUAAAGGGGGUGAAAAACCCCCUCGCCGGAAGACCAAGGGUUCCUGUCCAACGUUAAUCGGGGCAGGGUAAGUCGACCCCUAAGGCGAGGCCGAAAGGCGUAGUCGAUGGGAAACGGGUUAAUAUUCCCGUACUUCUUACAAUUGCGAUGGGGGGACGGAGAAGGCUAGGUGGGCCUGGCGACGGUUGUCCAGGUUCAAGUGCGUAGGCUGAGAGAUUAGGUAAAUCCGGUUUCUCUUAAGGCUGAGACACGACGUCGAGCUACUACGGUAGUGAAGUCAUUGAUGCCAUGCUUCCAGGAAAAGCCUCUAAGCUUCAGAUUGUAAGGAAUCGUACCCCAAACCGACACAGGUGGUCGGGUAGAGAAUACCAAGGCGCUUGAGAGAACUCGGGUGAAGGAACUAGGCAAAAUGGUACCGUAACUUCGGGAGAAGGUACGCUCUCGACGGUGAAGUCCCUUGCGGAUGGAGCUAUUGAGAGUCGCAGAUACCAGGUGGCUGCAACUGUUUAUUAAAAACACAGCACUGUGCAAAAUCGUAAGAUGACGUAUACGGUGUGACGCCUGCCCGGUGCCGGAAGGUUAAUUGAUGGGGUUAGACUUCGGUCGAAGCUCUUGAUCGAAGCCCCGGUAAACGGCGGCCGUAACUAUAACGGUCCUAAGGUAGCGAAAUUCCUUGUCGGGUAAGUUCCGACCUGCACGAAUGGCGUAAUGAUGGCCACGCUGUCUCCACCCGAGACUCAGUGAAAUUGAAAUCGCUGUGAAGAUGCAGUGUACCCGCGGCUAGACGGAAAGACCCCGUGAACCUUUACUACAGCUUGGCACUGAACAUUGACCCUACAUGUGUAGGAUAGGUGGGAGGCUUUGAAACUAGUACGCCAGUAUUAGUGGAGCCGUCCUUGAAAUACCACCCUUGUAGUGUUGAUGUUCUAACGUCGACCCCUUAUCGGGGUUGCGGACAGUGCCUGGUGGGUAGUUUGACUGGGGCGGUCUCCUCCCAAAGCGUAACGGAGGAGCACGAAGGUGGGCUAAUCACGGUUGGACAUCGUGAGGUUAGUGCAAUGGCAUAAGCCCGCUUGACUGCGAGAAUGACAAUUCGAGCAGGUGCGAAAGCAGGUCAUAGUGAUCCGGUGGUUCUGAAUGGAAGGGCCAUCGCUCAACGGAUAAAAGGUACUCCGGGGAUAACAGGCUGAUACCGCCCAAGAGUUCAUAUCGACGGCGGUGUUUGGCACCUCGAUGUCGGCUCAUCACAUCCUGGGGCUGAAGUCGGUCCCAAGGGUAUGGCUGUUCGCCAUUUAAAGUGGUACGCGAGCUGGGUUUAGAACGUCGUGAGACAGUUCGGUCCCUAUCUGCCGUGGGCGUUGGAAGAUUGAAGGGGGCUGCUCCUAGUACGAGAGGACCGGAGUGGACGAACCUCUGGUGUUCGGGUUGUGUCGCCAGACGCAUUGCCCGGUAGCUAAGUUCGGAAUCGAUAACCGCUGAAAGCAUCUAAGCGGGAAGCGAGCCCUGAGAUGAGUCUUCCCUGAUACUUUAAGUAUCCUAAAGGGUUGUUCGAGACUAGAACGUUGAUAGGCAGGGUGUGUAAGCGUUGUGAGGCGUUGAGCUAACCUGUACUAAUUGCCCGUGAGGCUUAACCAUACAACACCCAAGGGGUUU